CAGUCAGAAAUUGACAUUUUUCCUACCUUUUAACAAAUGGGAAAUAUAGAGCGCAUGCUUGAACAAGGAAAAUUUUUUUGUCAGUUAUUAGUCUUGGCUAGUUACAUCUCUGAUUAAAAUAUUUUGUUUGUUCAAGCAUGCGCUCUAUGUUUUCUGAAAGAAAAACUUCUUGAAAACAAGCUGUUUUAUGUUAAAAACGUAAAAAUGGCGGGAAAAGUCUGUCUUCAUGAUACCAUAUUUCUAAAUUGUGGGCACUUGAAUCAAAAUGAACAUAAUGUUAAAACAUCACAUAUAUAUCUGUACAAAGAAAAAACAAAGAAUUACAGUAAAAUGAUGAUGUUCAUUUUAGGGGGCCAUUUUAGGCCCUUAUCAUAUAUAGUCCUUUGUACAUUUUACGUCAUUUCAAAGGUCAAAUGACCGUUUUUAUCUGCAAUGAAGAGUAAAAAAUUAAAUUAUAAGCAAUGAAUUCAGUAUAUUUAUUAGUUUUAUACGAUAAAAAAUGGUUUGAAACAGUUUACGGUUUUUUAUAAACCGCUUCGCGUCAGAAUAAGCAUCGUAAAGAAAAGCUAUGAGUAAUGUAUCAACUCCUUCGGCGCAUUCCAAGAGGCAGAUAUACCAUUUAAGUACAUCACUGGCUAUCUAGUUACCACAACGUUUACAAAAGCCGCUUAUACAUACUAUACUUUGUCGACAAAUCAACUAUUUUCGUCCACGAUCACUCCCCUGGGAUGGUUAUGUCCAGUUGCAUAUUCCAGCGAUCUCACAUGAACAGUGAAUAAUAUCACAAGCUAUCGCAUGUAUUUUCUUUCGUUUUCAAUUCAGCCGGUUCAGAUUUUAACUCACUAUUUGUGUUUAAUCCAUUAAAUUCAGCUCAAUAGCUCUGCAUCAGCUGAAGGCGCAUCCAUUUUGAAUGUUGUUGUUUUGUAUUCAUACGCGCCGCUUCAUUUACAUUAUUUACAUUUUUGAUCAAUGAAACUUCACAUUUUUCGAUUUGAAAAUAUUUUAUUUAAUGAUAAGAAAUGAAGAUAAUAUUUUUUCUAUCCAUCGACGUAUAAAAAAAAAGUUGACUGGAAAACUUUUGAUGAAGUUUUCCUAUUUUAUACUAUUUUAGAAAAAAAUGACCGGAAAGCUACGCGCAUUGAUGAAGUUUUCCGGUAAAUUUUUUCUUUGAUACUUCGAUUAAUAGAAAAAUUAUUAUGUUCAUUUCUUAAAUCUAUAUUACUAAUUUGAAAACGUGACGUCAACGGUUUGUUAAAAAAUAUGUUCUUUCUUUCGCGUAUGUCUUCAAAUAAUGAUAUUUAUUUCCACUUUAAGUGACACCUAUCCCAGUAUGUAUAUGUAAAUUAAGAGUUACAAAAAUGAUAAAUAACCUAUGAAUAAUCAAUUUUAUGCGUGUUCUGGUGAAAGAGAACCAUCUACAACAAAACAGCAACCAACAACCACAACAUCACCAUCAACGACGGCAUCGCAAUUAUCAGCAAAAUCUCCUACAACAACAAGUUCAACGACAAAAACAGAUACAGCAGCCAUAAAUCCAUGUAUGAAUUCUACAUAUCUAUCCUCGAUUUUAUCGCAAUCAAGCUGUAUUGCCGACUCAAAUAAAUUAGCAGAGGUCAAAAAUGCAUUAGAUGAGGUCAAAUGCAAAUAUAUUUCUUCGAUCGUUGCCUGUGUCUUGGAAGGAGUACGAUCAGAUAUUGGUAUCACAUGUUCCGACAAACAGAAAAUAGUUGCCCUAUACGAGAUCGAGGAAUUAGCUCUAUCCUAUCUCAGUAUUGAUCCAAGAACAUGUGAUAUGUCGGCCAACAUCUCGACGACCCCAAAAACAUCUGCAAGGACAACAUUGUCAGGAGCAAACACAUUAACAACAAAAACAACUUCACCGAUGACAACAACAAUGACAACAACAAUGGUGACAACGAUGAUAAAAUCAACAACACCGGUGACAACAACCAUAAACCCAUGUACAAACUCUACCUAUCUUUCCUCAACAUUGCUCUCCCAUUGCCUCGACUACACAAUUAGCAGCAGUCAUAUCUGCUUCGGAUGAGGUUAAAUGCAGCUUCAUUUUAUCUGCUGUUGAUUGUGUCUUGGAGACAAUACGAUUGGAUUUUGGGAUCACCUGUACUGCCGAACAUAGAGUAGCCGCUCUGGAUGAGUUCUCGGGAAUAGUUCAAACCUAUCUCGGAGUCGACCCUAAAACCUGUUAGCUGGUCCUACAGACUGUUGAUAUUAUAGGGCGAGAGAUGAUAUUAUAUGGCGAAAGUAUGUGCAUGCAGAAUCAGUUUACUAUUGACUAUUCUUGUAUAGUUAAGAAAGUUACCUACUUACCAACUUACCUACCUAUGCACAUGCGUAUUAAUGCCGGAAUCUCCCAGCCCUCGACAGAAAUUGCAAGAUCUUGAAUAAGCCUACGUGUUUCAUUUUUCUGGAAUGGUAACCAAAAAAAAAAAACCCUCAGUGAAAAUUGAUGUGUAAUUUUAACAUUUUCAGAAAAAAAUGUUCUUAUAAUUAUGUGCUAUGUAACGAACUGAAUGCAAACUGUUUAUUGAUGAAUCAAAGGCUCGUUGUCAAAAGGAUAAAGCGAGAGCCGAAUUGUUGCAGAAUGCUACAAGCAUAAUGUUUAUUAUUAUGCUUAUUUAUGAUAAUAAAAUAAUUUCUGUUGA